ensembl:lncRNA
AAACAGGUGAGCUGAAAAGUGUAAAAACCACUAGUCUGAGACAUUGUUUGCAGCUUAAAUUAAAAAGAUGUUAUACUAAAUGGGGUGAUCAGUAACGAUUUUUGUGUUAAUAUAAGAGCAGUUAAAACAGAUGGAACACUUAAGUAAAGUGGGAGAAACAAAUGUGAGAGGAGGGUUAAUAUCGCUCAAUAAAGUAUAGUUUAUAGUUUUAGAGUCACCUCUUGCAAAUUGUAUCAGGUUGAACAAAUACUAAGCGUCAUCAGCCAUUGUUUGGAGAGGAUCUGCGCCUCACCGAGCGCUUUCAUCUCACCCGCGAGUGUAAGUUGUUGUUGUUUGUCGGCCAAUCACUGUCACAUUGCACAUUUCUCUCCAAUGAUGAGCCUUCACUCACUGGUUACUACGUCCGAAGCGGUGAGAUCAAAAGGCUUUAGUGAGCCUCACACCACUGCUGACAUUUUAGAUUUUCAUUGAACGUACGACAAGAUAAGAGAAAGAAUGGCGUUACAUGCACUCUUGUGGACAAAGCCCCCCACCCCUUAUUUCCGACCCCCACCGAUCCACCUGUGUGUCGUGGGGAUGGUGGAGCAGAGCAAGGUGGUGGUCUGGGACUUUGAUCCCGCAGGUGCAAGGCCAGUUACAACCAAAAAAAAUAUUCUGGCCGCAGUCUCAGAUGGGGAGUCAGUGGGAAAACUGGCUUCCUACGAAGAGUUCGGGGGGAAAUUUAAAGAGGGUGGCCAUUAUUUUAUAAAGGGGCAUUCCCUGAGAGGGAACUCUCCACCCUAUAUUAUAGUGGUUAAUAAGGACACUAUGUUCUUUAGAAGUGCUCCUAUAGCACUAUCCGAAGAAUUAAAAGAGCAGGCGGAGGCCCUCAUCCGUCCACUCUCACCACUGACGCCCCUCAGCACCUGCAGGAACGCCAAGGGGUUUCUGACCGUGGAGGGGGAAGUGAUCGAACUGUCCACGAUAAAACAGAUCUCUAAAGAAAGGGAGGUCUUUCCGCUGCGGAACGUCACUCUGCAGCAGGUAAGCAUCACAGAGAGAGAGAGACACAGAGAGAGAGGGGGGGAGAGAAACAGAGACAGACAGACAGAGAGAGCGAUAGAGACACAUAGAUAGAGAUAGACAGACAGAGAUAGAGAUAGA